rnacentral:pre_miRNA from 1 species
AUGUGACAUUCUAAUAUUGUACCACAUCAUUUCUUGAAAAUUUAUAUCAUAAAAAUUUAUAUAAUUUUUAAUUUUUAAGUAAUGAUGUGGCACAAUAUUAAAAUGUCGCA